CCUCUUAUCUUAAAAGAUUCUUUCUUAUCUUAAUAGAUCUGACUAAUCUCAAAAGAUUCUAUCCUAUUCUUAGAGAUACAUCUUGUUCUAAUAAGCAUACUUAUCCCCACCACCUUGCUUAUUUCAUAAUGUCGUAACAAACACGAUCUAUUCCAAAAUUAAAUUAAGUAUACUUUAUCCAGUCUAAUCUGAUUACACCAAUUUAAUUCUGAUCCCAUCUAAUUUGAUCGGAUCUAACCUAAUGGACAAACAUGUUAGAUAAUACUGGUAAAAUAAGAUUGGAUCCUACUCUUAUAAAUAUGUUUUAAUCCAAGUUGGACUAAGAUUCCAAUUUAGACUAGACCACAUACAACAACCUUGCCAUAUGCAACUACCUUAACCACUCGAUAGUUACAUAACCCCUCUGUUUUAACCAACAGGGAUUUUGACCUACCUCAUAUAGCCUGCCCUACCCACAGCUAUCUUAUCCAAGACACCACUACGAAGAAGAUCAACCUCAUCAAGGAAAGGAUAAGAGUCAUCGUCAAGGAUAAAAGUUAAACCAGAUCUCUAGAUGCAUCAAGAUCCACCAUCCAGGAUAGAAGUUUUUCUUGCCUAACCUUCUCUUAUCCUAAGCUUUUCUAAAUCUUACUUAUUAGCUAAAACAUAAUAUGCACAUGUUUUCUAGCCACACUUGCUAAUGAAGAGAAACUUUUGGAAGCAUUAAAACUAAUUGAAAACGAAAAGUAAAAAAAAACUUUCUAUAUCCCUUUCUUGCUAAUCUCGAGGACGAGAUUAUUUUUAAGGGGGUAGGAUUUGUAAUACCCAAAAUCUUAGAAAUAAAAUAGAAUCCUUGAUUAUAUGAUUUUGUGACUAUAUUUUUGCAUAUCAACAAUGUGGGUCCAGUUAAGGCAAAUAAUAAUUAUCUAAAUAUAUAAAUUGUGCAUCAUGCUGGGUCUUUAAAUGUGCACUUGACUUAGAUUUAAACUUCAAAAUGCAGUUCGAAUUUAGAAUUAAAUUUUAGUAAAGAAAUUAAAAAUAGACAAAAAAGAGAGAAAGGAGAGAAUUAAAUCGAGCUAACCAUAAAAUGGCCAGACCAUUUCACUCGACAUGCAAGCAUGAGCGUGCAUAGAUUUUUUUUAACCCUUUUCUUAUUUCUUUAUUCUUUCUAUCGGCUGCUUCAUGACGAUAUCCAUGGGCCCCAGCGCUAACAGGUCACAGCGGUUGUUGUGCUCUACAGAGACUAUCAUGUGGGCCCUAUUCUCUAGAAUUGUAUCCAUGCAUAGUUUGUUACGUACGAAUCAAAUCAGGUAACCGUCCAUGCAUGCGGUUUCUGCGGGCGGGCUCAUUGCGAUUAGGAGCAGGUUGUUGAGAUCCGAAAUUUCUGCCAGAUGCCAACUGAACCAGCUCCUGAGUAUUAAAACCGAACCCCCGUGACUCCCUGCACUAUCUCAUCCGCUGCUGGGAGCUUGCAAUCUUCCAGGAACGUUUUUUUGGUGCUAGCCGAGAGAGAAUCGAGAGGAAGAGAGAGAGAAAACCAUGCGCUGUAGCCUGCUUGUGAAGCCACAAGGCCUCGGCUGGUCGCUCAGGAGGGAUCUCACCGGUGGGCGCUAGAAGGUUGGACAACCGAUGUCGCGGGGUGUGAAGCUCGCCGGACUUGGGAUCUCUGCGCGGUCACCUGUGCUCGGCUGAGCCGUGGUCUGGAGCGACCACAUGGCGAGGGGACUGGACAUCGGAGUUUAGAGCGUCGCCGUGAUCCAAGCGCCACGGUCGGUCAACUCUGCUCCGGUCGACGGUGAAACUGGAAGAACGUAUGAAGCUAGACUUGUUGCAAUUUAUAGACAUGUAAGAGAGAACGGAGUUGAGGGACAACCUAUUUCUGUUUCAACAGAACAAUUUGUAAACUUUGAAUGGCAACCAGUUAUCUAGAUCUUUGCCUGAUGCGAUUGGUUACCUGAUGAACUUUAACAGAUUACAAAUAAAAGAUAACAACAUAUCAGGCCCAUACCUAACUCUUUUGCCAACUUAACAAGAAUUAAACAUCUGUAAGUGUCGAGUAUCUUUAUUUUCUGCCCAUCCUGAUGCUUCUGAUUUGUAAAAUUAGUAAAUAAUUAUGGUUCCAAUUUUACCUUUUAGUCACAUGAAUAUUAACUCAUUACAAAUCCCAUCUGAGUUGUCUAGCUUGCCUUGACUCCUUCAUUUGUAAGUAGACCUCAACUUUUUCUCUAAUAUUUUCUAUUUUGCAAGUUGCAGAUUACUUGUAAGUUGACAUGUCUUGUGCUGUGAACUUGCAGCCUUGUUGAUAACAAUAAUUUCUAUUUUGCAAGUUGUAGAUUACUUGUAAUUUGUUUCGUUUAUUGAGUAACACUAUCAUCAUUAUGUCGUUCCUACCGCACUUUCCACAUAUCUUUCAUAAGCGGAUAUUGUUUUCAAUAGUUUUGUGAUUACCAGUCCAUGGAUUACGAUGGACUAAAUGCAAAUGACAUAGGCUUGUAUAGAUCAAGAACCAUGCUAACAGUGAUGAAGAAAGAUGAAUGAAGACUAAUGAUGGUGAACUUAUUUAUUAGCUCAUAGAAAGGUCACAUAGUUUUAUACAAAGUGAUCACCAUUGAGACCGAACACACGACUAAUACAAAUAGAGAACAAAUCAUUACUACUAAGUUUCAUCUAAAACAUAACUAACAAAGUAUCUACUAUAACAAGCUAGAACACGUCUCAAUCAGAUAUCACAGUUGUGAGAUGUGCCCGUCUGUUCUCAAGAAAUCUGUCAACGUACGACGCCUUGGAUUUUGAAUCAACGAACGUCGAAUAGCUGCAAUUUAGAACAUAAUUUGUAAGAAGAUGGUUAUUUUAAAUUAUUAUCAUUUUAAUUUUAGCUAUAGUUUAUAACUAUAUUCUAAGAACCACUCACUCUUCAAGUGGUAUGUAGUGUGAUGAUCUGGGUUGAAAUGAACGGUGCUGUAAUCCGAGGUUUCCAAGCAUCUUAUUGUUAGGAUAAUAAAUAAGCAUAAGAAUUGAGUUCAAGUUGAAAGAUUUUAGGUACAAGAGAAAUUACUGUGUUUAUUGUUACGAUGCAGCAUAGUUCCAAUAAUUAUGUUAUUGUCAACUCUAGCUAACGACCAUCGUAGAGCAUUUCUUUGCAAGAGGUUAGUCCAUACCCCCACGACGAUUAGAUCCCACCUAUAAAAACAUUAAUGUUGUCUGAAUAAGACCUAACAAUUACUUAAUACUUUCAAAAAAUAAUGUAGCUAUAAAUUAGUGUCACCUGGAAUCCAUUAGUACAACCUCUCUAUACGGCCUUCCACCGAUAUGCUUUAAUGGCUCUAAAUGAAGAACUAUGCCAAUAAUGUCUGAGCAAUUCACAUGUGAUUAGUUAUCUUUGAAUAACUUAUACAUCAGCCAUUAAUACUAUACAUAUAAACCAUAUGGAAGGAAUGAUCAUUACCUAUGAACGACUUAUGCGGUUGUUGCUACACCUUAUGGAAUGGCAUAAUAUACUUUGGAAAUGGAGGAAAUUGGAUUGGCUUGAUGAAUGGCUCCACAAUAGUUUGUGUUAUGAGUCCGAUCUCUAGCCCAUGUCCAAUAUUCCGAAAUUGAAUCUCCUCCCUAUUUAGACAGAAUCCCACUCUAUACAAUGUAUAUGUGCAUCCUUGUGUGAGUAAGGCAUCGAACCGUGGAACAUUAUUGUGGCUUGAAAUUGCUUCCAUUUUGGAUCCCUAGAUAUAUGGGAAUACAGGUCGUAUGAGUCAAAGAAUUUUAUUAUAACAACAUGACUAUAUUGACUCUAUUUUAAAGCUUGAAGUAACUCACUGUAAUAUCCUGUAGGAUGAAGUGUUGACUAUCAUGACGCCUAGGGAACUUAACAACUACCCUCGCAAAGAUACUCUUUACGUAUGACUGAAUUUCUUAGGUAAAGCCAGCUAGGACAUUUGCUUAUGAUUUUUGUGCUGUCUUGAGCCAUCACAAACUGGUAGAGAUGCUGAGGCUAAGGGAUAUGAAUUCAUAUCACAGAAGAAUGUGCUUGAUUUAACACCAUGCACAACAUCUGUCAAGGAGUUGUAUUCAAGAUCACGGUGGAUGUGACAAGCAAAUGAAGCAAUGAUUCAAAUAUUACAAUUCUGGAUGGUGACUUAGAAGCAAUGAUUCAAAUGGAGCGUAGGAAACAGAUAUCGAACUAACAAGUAAUAAUCUCACUUAAGGGUGUUUCACUUUGUGUUGAACUGUAGACAUAGAAAGAAGAAUUAAGACAAGCGAAGAAGAAUGAAGAGAAGCAGGUGAGAGAAAAAGUUGUGCAGGUGCAAGUGCACCGUACAGAAAGCAUACUACCAUCUAAUCCUUUCAACUAUCAUUUUAGCAUCAACCUCUAUAUACCGGAAGCAUGCGUGUAUAUAAACUUCAUACCCCAAUAAAUACCCCCAAUACACACAAG